AACUAUAAAUUGUGAAGCAAACACGUCGCUAGCCCUUUUCCGACCUGCCUCGUGUCUCACCACAUGCCGUGAGGUCGCCACGUUUACUUUAAACAAGUCUAAACGUUUCCUAGAACUUGUGACUAGAAAAGUUUUAGAUGAUGCCAGAGAUGGAAGAUUCUUCAAGAGUUGGUGACUAAGUAUUACCGGUAGUCAUCAUUUCUGAUAAAUACAGGUUGUUGGUGAGACUCCUUUGUGUCGAGUGGGUGAAGGAUUGGCACGCAUUUUUAUUGUACCAGCUGUUCAACUGUUGCAAUUAUUUGUAAAAUUUGAGGUUUACCUUUGAGCUUGGUUAAAUUUUAAUAUAUCCGUUGACUGUCAAAAUAAACUUGGAUUUCUGAAGUGAA